rnacentral:rRNA from 1 species
UACGUAGGGGGCAAGCGUUGUCCGGAAUCAUUGGGCGUAAAGAGCGUGUAGGCGGUCCGGUCAGUCGGUUGUGAAAGUCAAGGGCUCAACCCUUGAAUGCCGGCCGAUACUGCCGGGCUAGAGUCCGGAAGAGGUGAGUGGAAUUCCUGGUGUAGCGGUGAAAUGCGCAGAUAUCGUUUGGAACGCCAAAGGUGAAAACAGACAGCUGGGAGUGUGCUGACGCUGAGACACGAAAGCCAGGGGAGCGAACGGG